UCACCUCAGUUUGCUGAACCGCACCAGAUUCUCACUGAGAAAGAUUAGCGCGUAGUGGCAAAUAUCCAGGAGGAAGAGAAGAAGAUUCCGAAUGCAAUGGAGUAAAAUCUUGAAGAGAUUCGAGAGAAAUUAAAUUCCAUUCAGGAGGAACUCUUAAAGCUACAGGCACAGAUGGAUCAACAAGACGCUGUGGUAUUUCUGAGGGAGAAAGCUGGUGCGAACAGGAGGGAUAGUGAGGAAGUGAGAACACUCUCAGUGACAGACGA